AGAGAAACUUCAGCCGAGGCGAGCUCACAGCAGGUUCAGAUUGGAUGCAAUCAGGGAGCAGUAUUUGAAAGAGUGGAUUCCUUAGAACUGACUCCGCUUGGCCGUCUCCUAGUCGGUUCUCCACGCUGUCCUCCUGGAUCCUUCCUCUAACGCUCCCCUGCCUGUCCACCCUCUGGAACUGUCGAGCCGUUAUGCCAUCUCAGCCAGACUCAAUCAACCUUCUCCCCGUCCUCUCCUCUCUCCAAGGAACUUUCCAGUCUGAGGCUCUGGUCACUGAACUACCACGCCGGACCAAUCCAGUCUCUUUAAAGCUUAAAAUAAACAUCUUAAAACAC